rnacentral:rRNA from 1 species
UCCUGGCUCAGGAUGAACGCUGGCGGCGUGCUUAACACAUGCAAGUCGAACGAGGGUACCGGUGAAAUUUCGAAUGGAAACGGGUAAUACCUAGUGGCGGAUGGGUGAGUAACGCGUGGGGAACCUGCCCCAUUCCGGGGGAUACCAGUUGGAAACGACUGUUAAUACCGCAUAAGCGCACAGUACUGCAUGGUACGGUGUGAAAAACCACGGUGGAAUGGGAUGGCCCCGCGUCUGAUUAGCCAGUUGGCAGGGUAACGGCCUACCAAAGCGACGAUCAGUAGCCGGCCUGAGAGGGCGACCGGCCACAUUGGGACUGAGACACGGCCCAAACUCCUACAGGAGGCAGCAGUGGGGAAUAUUGCACAAUGGGGGGAACCCUGAUGCAGCCGACGCCGCGUGAGUGAAGAAGUAUUUCGGUAUGUAAAGCUCUAUCAGCAGGGAAGAAGAUGACGGUACCUGCACAAGAAGCCCCGGCUAACUACGUGCCAGCCGCUGC